rnacentral:rRNA from 1 species
GUGCCAGCAGCCGCGGUAAUACGUAGGGUGCAAGCGUUGUCCGGAAUUAUUGGGCGUAAAGAGCUCGUAGGCGGUUUGUCGCGUCUGCUGUGAAAACCCGAGGCUCAACCUCGGGCCUGCAGUGGGUACGGGCAGACUAGAGUGCGGUAGGGGAGAUUGGAAUUCCUGGUGUAGCGGUGGAAUGCGCAGAUAUCAGGAGGAACACCAAUGGCGAAGGCAGAUCUCUGGGCCGUAACUGACGCUGAGGAGCGAAAGCAUGGGGAGCGAACAGGAUUAGAUACCCUUGUAGUCC